UACGUAUUUUAGAAGGAAAUAGAGGACGGAGGUAAAGAACUGGUUUUCGAUGAAGGUUUACUUUUCUGGGGUAAAAUGUCGAAGAAUUUCCAGAAGAAUUAGUUUUAGUUUUAACAUAUUUAAUAUGAUAUCCAUCAUUCAUCAAUUAAGAGCAUUUCUAAUAAGAGCUGAAGAAUGUGUUAAACUUUUGUUUACGGAAGACCAAAACUGAAAUUAGUGAUAAGAAAUCAUACAAGAAUGCAUCAAAGGAGAAAGUAUAUUUCAUGCAAAGGACGAAAAGCAGAAAAUUAAAUGAAGAUGAUUAUCUAUAUAUUUUUAUUGCAAACAGCAUAUAAAUUGUGUAUAGAAAAAAUGUAUAAAUGGCAUUUUAUUUUGUGAUAGUAUUUAUGCCUGUUGGUAAUAUAUGUAAACAUUGGUGUACGCAGUUAGUGUAUGGUGUGGUGAAAUCACGGGAAUAUGUUGUAACACUUAAAUUUUAAUUUAAGGAAACUCGUGAAAAAAUUGCAAAUUCGUUUUCUAUCUGCAUAGAAAACGUUAAAAAUAGAGUGCUUAAAUUUAGAUAUUUAAUUGUGAAUAAAUUGAAGAGACUUUUAUCUUUAGACAAUGAUUUU